AUAUUUUGAAAUAAAAAAAAAAAAAAAAAUUCUGUUCUUAUCAGUUUAAUAUCUGAUAUCCCCGUAUGUGGGGAGCUCUGUAUUAAAUUGAUUUUUGGAGCAGGGGGCUGGACUCGGAGCUUGCUCUGUUCACCCCACACAUCGGCCUGGUAUUGCAGUGUUUCCGGGAACGGUGUACCCUUC